GUUCAUGGAAUACCUUGGUUCAUGGUACAUAACUGUGGUACAUACGUACUAGACAACCUAGUAUAAAAACUACAGUUACUUACAUUUAUCACACGGGUAAAUGUCUAACAAACCUUCAGCCAGCUUGAGCGAUGUAUGGAUCCUCGUCAUAUUUUUGAAAAACGUCCCCUCGCAACUGAAUCAUUACAUCAUUAACAAUCAUCACAACAAAAGGACAAAAUAUGGGUAACAUGCAGAUCGAGGACAUUUGUAAUUAAUUCGAUGUAGAACAAAGAUUUUCUUUAAUGACGCUAAUCUCUGACUAGAGGAUAUCAACCAAUGAGAAGAUGGCAAUCGUCUCGCACCGUGAAUCGCAUUGUGCUGAAACAAGUUUCAACUUGUGCCUUGUGUCCGUAACUUGAACUGAGCCAAGUCCCAAGUCUGUUAAUUUUCCAAUAGCUUAGAUUUUAUAUCAGUUAAUUAAUUUUAUCAGUCAAUGAUUUUGGGUAAACACUGUGUGUAAAAAUAUUAAAAAUGAAAGUUAUGCGGUUCUUUGCGAACCGUACACUCAAAAUACUUUCAACUGUGCAUACAGGGUGUUCUGUUUUUAAGGCAUAACACACAUCUUACUUUUUUCAAAUAGAAAACCUACAUAUUUUUACAUAUUCUAAUUUACCUCUUCUAACCCCAAUUUAUUUUUAAAAUCUGUGUUACAAUAUUUUGUAGAAAAAUAAAUAAAGGUAUGCACUUUUGUUGUUGUAUAUCUAAAUAAAAUUAAGUCUUAAUAUACAGAGUGUUUGCAAAGACAAUAUUAUUGCAAUUUUCAAAUAUCGAUAUUUUUUGUUCUCUUUCUUUUUUUCUUAAGUAUUUUCUGUAUUUAACGUUGAUAGUUACUGCGAUUUUAAUUUUUUUUAAGAGACACGCUGACAUAACGCAAACAAGAGAACGAAAAACAGACUAAGGGGGCAAUUUCAAGUUGGAUUUGCGAAAUCGCAAGUGCCGUUGCUAUGGUAAUUUCGAUGACAGUUGUUGCAAUUCGCGAUAUGAUUCGUCCUCGCGACUGCUGUCAUCGCAUCUUCCAUGGCAACGAGGACUUGCGAAAUUGUAAAUCCAACUUGAAAUUGGCCCGUAAGAUACAGUAAUAAAAUACACAGUGAUCUAUCUGGAAAAACUGAAAUAUCAUUAUAUGAAAAUUGUAACCUUUUAGAUUUUUUUUGCAAAUAAAAAUCUUAAAAAUAACAUUA